rnacentral:ncRNA from 1 species
UUCCAAUCGGGCGAGCCACUCCACUUUCUGGUUCGUCACGAAGAAAAAGGAGGAAAAAACAUACCGUGGCCUGCGGUGCGGCAGUGUGGAGACCUGUCGUAUAUGCAUCCGGCACGUAUGCGGCCGGCUGUGAGGUUACAGCUUGCGGAGGCACUGUAACUAAGGUAAGAAAGAUGGCG